AGAGCAAACACAACUUGUUCAGAAGCGCUUCAGCGGAGAAGCACUUUUUCUCACGCGCAUCGGCUCAAGCUUUCUCGGUUUCUCUUGUGCGACACACUCUCAAACUCAUGCUCUCUCCCUCUCAAUUCUUACGCAACAACAACAAUUACGACGUAGAUUCUGUUGGUCUCAAAUUGGUUGGAUUUGGAUUUCAGAACUGAUUUGAAUUGUUAACGAUUCAGGAUUCGAUUCACGUUAGGGUUCAGAGUCUGUUUGCGCUCGAAAUUUCAACUCAGAGCAGUUUGAGUUAAAGUUAGAGCAGGCAUACGAUAUCAUAAAGCUGAGAAUGGAGGAAUGCUUAGCGGUUGAAGCGACGAGGAGAAGAAAAUGCAGCUUUCAAUCUUGCUCACAAGGUAUUCGAUAAAAUGCUAUUAGCAUAGAAUUAUCGUCGUUAUUACCGUUUCGUCAAAUGCAAAGUCUUGGACGCCCUCCAAAUGGGAAAAACGACUUCCUUCCAUUGGUUGCUUUUAGAGGACCCUCAGAAAAUCUUUAUGGAUUGAACACAUUAGCAUCAUCACCCCAUAGCUUUGUGUCGCGGUGAACUAAAAGUGCCGGCAAGAAAAAUUGCACUCCAGCAGGCAAUGUUAGGUCUCCAACUUUUACAUAUUUUUGAACUUCUCGAGGAAGUGCAACUAUUGGCGGGUAUAACAACCAAGUUGUUGUUUCUGCUGGAGUAUUUCGUGUUUCUACCGGCUUUAGUUUUUGGGUUUGUUUUGGUGGGGUGCAGAGCACACUUGUUCAUUUAUGUACAGAGUGAUCUGCCAUUUUGGUGUACAGAAAAACAAAACUACUUGCUGAUGCAAUUUUUUGUAGCAAAGAAAUGAAAUGAGAAUUAGAAUUGAAAAUUGAGGAAAAAUUAGGAGAUGGGGAGUUAAGUGACAUUGAGAAACUAGCCAAGCAAUCCUCUAACAAGUGGCGGCAACUUGACAUCUUGAAGCGUUGAUUACAAAUACCGACUCUUCCUCCAUGAUUGUAGGUAUUAGAGUCUCAUCAAGCAAACAAAGUUGACGCGUCUGAAACUGCCAAGGCUGUGAUAUCUUGCUUCAAUAAGUUGGGGGGUCUCUUUCGAUAUGGAUCAGAUACAAUUAAUCAGGGACCCUGAGCAUCAAGUUGAAAUGGUGGGAGUUCCAGAGUAGUAUUUAUCGGGUCAUGCCUUUCAUAUGUAUCAUUUGACAUCACCUAUGGUGGGAGUUCCAGAUGCUGUACUAUUUCUUGCUAAAAAGAUUGAAGCAAAGGAUUCCAAGAGAAUCUACAAUAUGAUUGAUGUUUUGCGAGAGGGUAAUAUGCGAUAAAAAGUUCUAUGGAGUAUGAUGCAAGAUGUGGAAAUUUGGGAUUCUAAUAAAGCAAUUUUCAUCUUGUGUCCAAUUUUCGUAUCAAUUUAUUUGAGGAAAGCUUAGUUUGUACUAUUGUGGCUUAUCUAUAACAUGAUUUGAGUAAGAACAAUAUAAUAUAAAGACGUACGGUUACUAAUUUCUUUUAUUUUAA